rnacentral:rRNA from 1 species
AUGCUCUUUAUCUCAGGAAAGAAAAACCUAUACUACAUGUUCAGCGCACGUGACAUGAUUGUGUGCCAAAAGGCAACAGCGAACGGCGACGGCAAGGUCGAUCCGAGGGAAGGUUCGGUGGCAUCAUUCUCUAAUCUACAGGGGAGAACAUGCCAUGUUCUGCCCUCCCCCGAAGGCCCAAGCCCUUGCUGUCCCGCACUGUGGAUCAUUCCCCUCGCAGACAGCAAUGAGCUGCCCCUACCACCCUACCAAACCAUGGCCAGGUCCAUCCAUGUGACCGCCCAACUGCGCAUCACAUUGUCAACAGUUGAGCAGCAUGGAGACCAGGAUUAUGCAUGCAUGCAUGGAUCAUAA